rnacentral:rRNA from 1 species
AGAAUCAACGCUGGCGGCGUGCCUAACACAUGCAAGUCGAACGAGAAAGGGUAGCAAUACCUGAGUAAAGUGGCGCACGGGUGAGUAACACGUGACUAACCUACCCUGGAGUGGGGGAUAACUGAGGGAAACCUUAGCUAAUACCGCAUAAUACCUACGGGUCAAAGGAGCAAUUCGCUUUGGGAGGGGGUCGCGGCCGAUUAGUUAGUUGGCGGGGUAAUGGCCCACCAAGACUGUGAUCGGUAUCC